GAUGAACGCUGGCGGCGUGCUUAACACAUGCAAGUCGAACGGUGAAGCAGGAGCUUGCUCUUGUGGAUCAGUGGCGAACGGGUGAGUAACACGUGAGCAACCUGCCCCUGACUCUGGGAUAAGCGCUGGAAACGGCGUCUAAUACUGGAUAUGUGAUGUGACCGCAUGGUCUGCAUCUGGAAAGAAUUUCGGUUGGGGAUGGGCUCGCGGCCUAUCAGCUUGUUGGUGAGGUAAUGGCUCACCAAGGCGUCGACGGGUAGCCGGCCUGAGAGGGGGACCGGCCAAACUGGGACUGAGACACGGCCCAGACUCCUACGGGAGGCAGCAGUGGGGAAUAUUGCACAAUGGGCGGAAGCCUGAUGCAGCAACGCCGCGUGAGGGAUGACGGCCUUCGGGUUGUAAACCUCUUUUAGCAGGGAAGAAGCGAAAGUGACGGUACCUGCAGAAAAAGCACCGGCUAACUACGUGCCAGCAGCCGCCGUAA
rnacentral:rRNA from 1 species